rfam:Schistosoma margrebowiei strain Zambia genome assembly, scaffold: SMRZ_scaffold0000011
ACCAAACUGAAGAGUCGCAAGUAGAACGAAACGCGCGUCCUGGAU